UGGGGAAUAUUGCACAAUGGAGGGAACUCUGAUGCAGCGACGCCGCGUGAACGAAGAAGGCUUUCUAGUCGUAAAGUUCUUUUAUAUGGGAAGAUAAUGACGGUACCAUAAGAAAAAGCCCCGGCUAACUACGUGCCAGCAGCCGCGGUAAUACGUAGGGGGCUAGGGUUGUCCGGAAUCACUGGGCGUAAAGGGUUCGCAGGCGGAAAUGCAAGUCAGGUGUAAAAGGCAGUAGCUUAACUACUGUAAGCAUUUGAAACUGCAUAUCUUGAGAAGAGUAGAGGUAAGUGGAAUUUUUAGUGUAGCGGUGAAAUGCGUAGAUAUUAAAAAGAAUACCGGUGGCGAAGGCGACUUACUGGGCUCAGUCUGACGCGGAGGAACGAAAGCGUGGGUAGAAAACAGG
rnacentral:rRNA from 1 species